UACGUAGGGUGCGAGCGUUAAUCGGAAUUACUGGGCGUAAAGCGUGCGCAGGCGGUUUGCUAAGACAGGUGUGAAAUCCCCGGGCUUAACCUGGGAACUGCGCUUGUGACUGGCAGGCUAGAGUACGGUAGAGGGGGUGGAAUUCCUGGUGUAGCAGUGAAAUGCGUAGAUAUCAGGAGGAACACCGAUGGCGAAGGCAGCCCCCUGGGCCUGUACUGACGCUCAUGCACGAAAGCGUGGGGAGCAAACAGGAUUAGAUAUCCCU
rnacentral:rRNA from 1 species